AAAUAUUGCCAGAACUAUGAAGACAAAAGGAGUAAUUAUUGUUCUUGUGCUAAUAGUGAUUUUAGAAUUACAUGUGUGUGGAGUAAUGGCGGAGGGCGACGAGGGAAAAAAUGUGAAAGUAAUUACAGAACGCAGUUUCUUGAGUAAACUGUUUUCAAAAUUUAUAGGUAAAGUGCCGAAAAGGAAAAUAGGCCGGCAAUAUGGAAUCUACAAUACAGGGUCAAGGAGGACGAAUAAUGCAAGACAACAAUGGAAAAGAAGAGGAAAAUUGCCUUCAAAAAUAUAAGAACGAACAGAGCACAAUAUGCCUGAAGUCUAUGAUUUCAAAGUGCAUAAAUACAAGCAUAAACGGAAAAAUAACAUUUCAAAUGUGUUUUCUAUAAUAAACUUUAAGACAACAUACAAAUUCCGAGUCAAGUCUAAAACAUGGUUCAUGAUCUUAAGUCAUGGACAAAAUCAACUCUUUACACUCUCAAUCCCUGACAUUUUCAAAUAUCCUUGAUGGUCAAGACACAACCUAAUGUGAACAGCUACCUUAUGCCGAGAAUGAGUUUCUACUGUUCUAGUAUAAGCAAAAUAAAGAGCAGAUAUUUA